rnacentral:rRNA from 1 species
AUUAGAUACCCCACUAUGCUCAGCCGUAAACUUAGACAUCCAACUACAAUAGAUGUCCGCCAGGGUACUACGAGCAUUAGCUUAAAACCCAAAGGACCUGACGGUGUCUCAGAUCCCCCUAGAGGAGCCUGUUCUAGAACCGAUAACCCCCGUUCAACCUCACCACUUCUAGCCAACCCAGCCUAUAUACCGCCGUCGUCAGCUUACCCUGUGAAGGUAAUAAAAGUAAGCAAAAUGGGUACAACCCAAAACGUCAGGUCGAGGUGUAGCGCAUGGAGUGGGAAGAAAUGGGCUACAUUUUCUAACAUAGAAUAUUACGAACAUGCACCAUGAAACAGUGCUUGAAGGAGGAUUUAGUAGUAAAAGGGAAAUAGAGUGUCCCUUUGAACCCGGCUCUGAGACGCGUACACACCGCCCGUCACUCUCCCCUGUCAAAAUGCACCAAAAAUAUCUAAUAUAAUAGCACUGACAAGGGGAGGCAAGUCGUAACACGGUAAGUGUACCGGAAGGUGCACUUGGAUCAAAC